ACUACUAAAAGCCGAAUACGCAGAGCAUACAGCGUGCCACGUCAGAUUUUUUAUUCAGGCCAAUGAAAAAGCUUUUAUUUGCCACAUAUACAUUCCUUUACGCAGCAUAAAAUUUACACGGGCUAUGGCCUGUUAAUAUUUUGUUGUAGCCAUAAGCCCAACUCUCUUUCUUCACCCAAUGACCGUCGAUAUCGUUUUGCCUCUUCCACUUCUCCAUGGUAUUGCCGAUUGAUUUCUGCAACUCUCUGUUUCGUUGAAGUUAUAACUAUUAAGUAUUUACUCUCAAUCAUCCAAUCCUUUAUUUAUUCAUAUCUUAAUUUCAGCUUAACCCACCUUCUUCAUCCCUUAUUCAAGUUCGUACAGCCUCUAGAAUACCUCUUCAAAUUCCUAUUGCUAUCUUCGUCUUUAAAAAUUCGUGCAAAUACUAUUGGAUCGACUGUGAUAUCAAAAGUAAGCCAAAAGACAUGGCAAGUUGCAUACAGUCUCAAUCAAUCUGUGCUGAAAUGCUCUGUGGAUGUCUUUUACAACAUGGUUUGCGUAACACUGAGAAUGUACUUGAUGUGUUCCAGCUUGCGCUGCUAUGUGGUUUCCCUCGGCUUAGCGUCAUAUCUCACCAUAUGAUCAUGAAACACUUCAAGCAGCUUUGUGCUACAGAAGCAUGGAUAUUUAUGCAGAGCCGUCCCUUUCUCGAGGAAAAAAAAACUUAAAAGGCUCUGUCAUCAUCGAAGAAAGUCUUUUCUCAAUACAAAUUAACAGGGUGCUCGCGGGGUUCUUCAAAAGUGGAACAAGAUUGAGGCAAGGCUAAAAGCCACAUCUCAUUUUUGAGAACGAAGGUUUUAGCUUCCUGUCCAAAACACGUUUUGCUUAUUCUAUCAAAAUUGUAGAAAAAAUGACUCUCAAUUUGUUUGUGUAGUAUUAUAAUCCUGAUAAUGAGAAGGUGGAACCCACUGUUGCUACGAUUCUCAAAGGAAGUGAUAAUUUUUUUUGUUUAUGUUCAUUAGUAAGUAUCUGAUAGUAUAUAUUAUAUCCAUAAGAUGUAAAAUGAUUAGCCCACUGAUCGACCUAGACUGUUUUGUUUCUUAUAUUCUUAAGGGUCUUCCAUUUGAGCUAUAAUAACAUGCUUCUAAAUCAGUUGUGGAGUGAAAAUGGUAAUAUUAAGAAUCUUCUCAGCAAUUCUUUCUUUCAGCUUCAAGCUAAUCGUGCUAUUACUGAUAUACAGAAUCAAGUAAAACCCUUGAAAGAAGUGAGAGAAGUUAUGGUCAAAGCUUACCAGAAGGUUAGCUCCUGAGAGUUUCUAAAAUAUAUUGUCAGAAAUCUACUCUAAACAGCCAUUCUUCCAUCAUAUACGUGAACAAUUCUUCCUGAUAGUAGAAGACAAGAGGAUGCAAACUUCAACGUAGAUUUACCGACUGAUGUUAAUGGUGCUGAUAAAAAAAAAUUAAGGCAUGUGCCACUUAAGGAACUUGGUGAGCCCGUUGUCGUCUAUGUUCCUUUAUCUCAGGUCACAUGGGUGCUGUGUUUAUAUGGUCUACACAAUCUUAUGCUGCUUAUACUCCUUCGAUUCUACUCUUGAUGAUCUUAUUCUUAUAAUCAUGUGCAAAUUAAGAGUUUAAGUACAAUUGGAAGCUCGAGAGUUUAAUGUUA